rnacentral:rRNA from 1 species
AUUGAACGCUGGCGGCAGGCUUAACACAUGCAAGUCGAGCGGGGUGAUGGUGCUUGCACUAUCACUUAGCGGCGGACGGGUGAGUAAUGCUUAGGAAUCUGCCUAUUAGUGGGGGACGACAUCUCGAAAGGGAUGCUAAUACCGCAUACGUCCUACGGGAGAAAGCAGGGGAUCACUUGUGACCUUGCGCUAAUAGAUGAGCCUAAGUCGGAUUAGCUAGUUGGUGGGGUAAAGGCCUACCAAGGCGACGAUCUGUAGCGGGUCUGAGAGGAUGAUCCGCCACACUGGGACUGAGACACGGCCCAGACUCCUACGGGAGGCAGCAGUGGGGAAUAUUGGAGAAUGGGGGGGAACCCUGAUCCAGCCAUGCCGCGUGUGUGAAGAAGGCCUUAUGGUUGUAAAGCACUUUAAGCGAGGAGGAGGCUCUUUUGGUUAAUACCAAAGAUGAGUGGACGUUACUCGCAGAAUAAGCACCGGCUAACUCUGUGCCAGCAGCCGCAGUAA